AUCAAUUGAAUAGAAUGUAUCUCAAUAUCUAUCUAUAUUGUAAAUAAACCUCUAUUCUUUCCGAUAUCCAUUGGUAUUCUAAAUAAAUUUUUAUUUUUUAUAUAGUUGGGCAAAUUUAGAUUCCUAUAAGGCACGAGCUUAGGUGCAACAAAAUAGCACCCACAUGGUUGAUUUUUUUUCUCCUGCGGUCCCAUCCCACAUGGAGUUUUUUUAUCAAACCUCAUGUGUGACUCAACCCUUCUUAUUUUUUGUACAUCGGUUUUUCCAAUCUUAGAACUCUUCGCUCCCACAUCUCCCUUCUUCUCCUUGGAUUUGCGGUUUGCUCAUCAAAGAGGAUGUUAUUCGUGAGUUUUGAUCUUGAUACACCUUCACAGCCAGAUUAGCUUGCACACUGAGAUGAAAUCGGUCGGGAUCUUUUUGCCUCGGUAAGACUCUCAAACAAAUCCACCUAAGAACUCGUGGAGGACCACGAAUGAAGUCAAGUACAAUGUGCUGACACUUUCAAUGGACUCGCUUUUUUUUUUUUGUCCAAUUGAAUCCCCAUCCGACAGCUACGCAAAGAUUAAAGAUUCAUGAUAAUCUUGACGUGGAUAACGUGUCAGUGUAACAGUCGUCUCCAACAAAUGAUCCUAAUCCUAUCCAGUGGACUUUGAGAGGAGACAAGUUAAUACAUGACCACGCGUCCAGACAUACUAUAAUUUUUUCCUGUUAAGUUAAUGGUGACGGGAUAAUCCAGUAGGGAGCAGAGAAUAGAAGAAGAUGGGCGGACGGACAGGAGACGUGUCUCUGGCCUUCCACGCUUCCCGGUCUCCGCAGCAAGCUAUUGGCUCAACAACGAGAACGCGAUAAACCGGGAGUUCCUCAGGCACAGAAAAAACCGCCGCCGUGUCUUCUUGGUUUCGCGGUGGCGCCGCCCCUUCCAUAGUUUUCUUGCCAAGCCUGAUCCAAUACUGGAGUAGGGGAAGCGGAAGAAAAAAAAAAGUUCGCUCCUUUACGCUUUGGAUUUAUGCGAGAGAGAUGACCGGAGAUGAGACCCCGGACUCAAUUCCAAACCCUAACCCUAACCACAAUCCCGAGUCGAAUCCUGAAAGUAAUCGCCAGGCGGUGGAACGGACGGCGGCGGGAGUCAAGAGAAAGAGAAAUCUUCCGGGAACCCCAGGCAAAGUUCCCUACCAAGCUCCCUUCUUGUCUCUCUCCCUCUUUCUCAGUUUCAAUCGAUGCGAGUCCUGUUCGAUUGAUCAAUAAAAAUUCAAUUUUUUUUUUUAAGAUCCGGAGGCGGAGGUGAUCGCGCUGUCGCCGGAGGCGCUUCUAUCGGCGAGCACCUUCGUGUGCGAGGUCUGCGGGAAGGAGUUCCGGCGGGACCAGAACCUCCAGAUCCACCGUCGGGGGCACAACCUGCCGUGGAACUUCCCCCAGAAGAAGGCGGCGGCGGCGACGGAGGCGGUCGGCGGGAAGGAGGCGGCGAGGAAGCGGGUGUACGUGUGCCCGGAGGAGACGUGCGUGUACCACGACCCGGCUCGGGCGCUCGGGGACCUUACCGGGAUCAAGAAGCACUACAGCCGGAAGCACGGGGAGAAGAAGUGGAAGUGCGACAAGUGCUCGAAGAAAUACGCCGUCCGGACCGACUGGAAGGCCCACAGUCGGAUCUGCGGCAACCGCGAGUACGAGUGCCUCUGCGGCACCCUCUUCUCUAGGUAUGCAUGGUUUUAUACUAAUCUCUCCCAUUCUCUCUCUCUCCCUCCCUUUUCCUCGUGGAUUUUGUAGAGCUGAGAAAGAAAUCAUUGGUGCAGGAAGGAUAGUUUUAUAAUUCACAGGGCGUCGUGCGAGGCGACGGCGGAGUCUCCGACGGCGGCGGCGACGGUCGAUCUUAGCUUCAAGGCGAACGCCGUGAAUAACGAAUUGUUGUUUCCGAGCUUAUGGGGACAGAGCUCGUCGCAGUCUACGGGAGUGAGGGAGGAGCAGAGGACAAGUGGAACAGGCACAUGAUCCGUCAUCUGUGACCAAAUAGAUCGAAAGGCAUAUCAAGAGUGUCAAGGAAAUCGACUUCAUGUUGUAUCUGGACGCAGAAUGUUUCCAGGCCUUUGUAAACUUCCACAAUAUUUGUCAGGAUUUGAUGUCUACUGAUUUUAGUUUGUACACCUUUUGCUUGUAAUCGAAUGGCAAAGCUGUGAUGAAUUAAACGGAGGUUCUCUCUAGACCGCAAGCCUUAAUCAUCUGCCUCAAUGUUAGCUUUAGGAAUCACAUUGAAUUGAUUUCAAAAAUUGACUCUUUUUUGUAUUUUUGUGUGUGUGUUCUCUCUUUCGAGGCGUGCAGCCAAACCAACUUCAACCCUCACGUUUUCCAUUUCAAUUCUCAACUAGGGACCAGCAUCAGUAAAAAAAUAAAAAUACCAAUUAAUCCAAGCAUAAGCAUUUACAGUUUGAGGAUAAGUAAUCAAGAAGUUUGACCAGUAGUAACAGCGUCAUCCUCUCUCGUUUCCUUAUUUCUCCGGCACCCAAACAAUGCUUAGAGAUUUCGUUACAAAAAUUUUUCCACGUUACUCGUGUAUUCGCAUAGUGCCGUAGUAAAUAGUUCCUGAGCAACGCAUAUCGGAUCUCAUCCCUAGCAUCAUGCAACAAGAACAAAAUCUGAAACGCCUGCAACAUAUUAACACGGAAGAAAUGCUUGUUUCAAAUCUGUAAACAUGUCAUGUCCACCAUUGGCGGGAGUAUGUACAAAUGAGGAGAGUGACUAGAUCUAUCUUAACCAUCAUAAUUAUGGAGAAACCAUUUAUUUUUACUUCAUAUUAUCUUCCAAGGCUGAGGCUUUGCAGAUCGGGCAGGCAUUCUUUAUCAGCAACCAUUGCUUUAUGCAGCUGGCAUGGAAAUCAUGUCCACAUUUUAGUCUCCCAAUGCUUUCCCCAUCUCGGUACUCUUCCUGUCAAUUCAAAAUGCAGACCCAUAAAACAAACACCUAGUUACGUUAUUGUAAUUUAGUCAACAGAAGAUUAGGCUUUUCUUUUUAAUCAAGUCAAUUAGACAUAAAUCUCAUGGACGUGGUUGAAGAAACAUUACCAGGCAAAUUGCACACUUCAAUUCUUCCUCGUCAUCCUGAUUCUGUUUGCAAGAAUAGUAUAUCGUCUCCAUCAAGCAUCUUGAGAUGGCAUCUGACGACAAGCCUGUGCUGACAUUUCCAAUUCUUUCUCCCAGUGCAAGCAGCUCCUGUGCCAACCCCAAUAACUUGACAUUGUUAGAUGAUCUGAUUGAAGGGAAAAUAAAAGGUAAUUUUCUUCAGGAAAAAAAAAAAUCCCGACCUCAUAGCUCAUGCUGUCGAUGUCCAGUCUCAUGUCACGGUGCUGAUCAAAGAAAUUCCUGGAAUCAUAGAAGUUUGACCGGUCCAUUAUAGCUACACCCUGCAUAAAUAAAUCAAGACGGAUAAGUCUUCUUUGGUGCAUGCUAAGUAGCAUUUUUUAUUUCUGGAAUAGCCAAAAGAAAGCUUGAUUUCAUCAACUAAUAACAUUAUCACCUCAGAGAUCCAUCUACUGCGAGUAUUGUCCUCAUCUGAGAAUGACUGGAAUCUAUCAUAGAAAUUCCUUGCCCUUCCAUUCCUCUCAUUAUUAUGCCCCAUAAUAGACGGUGGUCUUGGAUGUCUAGGAGGCAUCGCAGUUUCCACUCCUGGCCGCCUAUCAUCUUCCAAAGUGGCUGCAAAACCCACAGAUGGGUAGUUUGGAAUGGCCCUGUAAGUUCUUUGACUGUAACUACUGUGGGCCAGCCCUGCGCCUCGUGUUGGAGGACCCUGGAGACUUGGCAUGGUACUCGGACUUCUACUUGCAAUGAGAUUGGUGUGGUACCCACCAUCGAUCUCCAUAUUGUUAUCGGUGACACUGCUUCCCGCAAGGGACUGACUAAUCUCAUGAUUGAAGGAGCUAACUUCUGCAAUUUCCAGAACCAUGUCGGAAACAAAUUAAGCAGUCAACUUAAAAAUCCAAAACCAAAUAUACUAAUUAGACUAACCUGAAGAGAGAACCGUUCUUGGGGGAUCCAUAGAGACAGAAUUUUGGCUCCAAUGUCCUACCACACCCAAACCAGCAGUAUUCACUGUUGCUUGAAAAUGUUGAGGCAAGUUGUUAGAUGCAUGAACCCCAACUGGGAUGGUUUCCAUGUGACGGGCAUGAUUAUGUCGGCUCCUGACAUUCCUCCGGGGUCCUUCUCCAAAAGUCAAAAGAUUGCUGCUUCCAUAACUAGGGACUGUGCUAACGGGCUCCCAAGGCCAGCAAUGAGGACCUGAUAAAGGCUUUGGCUGUAAUUGCUCAUUCGACAUGGGAAGAUUGGAAGAACUACCAGCACUAUAAUAUCCACUGGUGUUCCCCCUGUCAGAAACUAUUGCGAGUGCUGGGAUUUUUCUUUUGUAUGAUGCUCUUCCAUAGUCCAUUUGAGGAUUAAUUGUGCUGCCUACAUCCCCAAUUGCAUGUUGGUUGUAGAAAGGAGGCCCAUGCUGAACAUAACUUGGUGGAAGCCGACUAGAGCUGGCAGCAGAUGGAGUAUGCAGGUAGGGAUCAUGUGAGGGUCCAACUGCCAUGUAAUUUGGAAUCUCUGAAGUAGGCAAUGGAGGGUCAUUUGAUCUAGGAAUCAUGUUAAAAUAAGCCACUGAAUUCACCCCAUUGACUGCUGCAUUCUCAGAAGGACGAACUAAAGAACCAUUUUCUGCAAAUCAAAUUUCAAAACGUGUCAUUCAAUAAAGUUUCCAAAAAUAUUUUAAUAACAUCCAGAAGCAUGAAAUUGACAGAAGUACCCAAGUUCAGGUGAGAAUCAGGGUGCGGAUGAUUCCAGAUUCGGUCAUGAUCCAUUUCAGACAUUUGAGAUUGAUUAACCAAGUGUCUAUGCCCCAUAGAAGAUGUUGCCUUGGAUCAGAACAGCAUAUGGAGUCUACAAAAAAUAUAUAUCAAAGAUCACCAUAUUCAGCAAUUGUAUUCAAGGUUGUGACAACACAUUCAACUGAAUUGCACCAUGCAUGCAAAAAAAUGAUAAGAGAAGAUAUCCCGGAUGUUUGAAGCAGCAUUUCAUGGAAAAUUGUUGUCAAUCAUAUCAAUAUAAAUAUGCAUUGCGAACAUCAAUUUAGAAGAACUAAUUCUUUCAUUGAAUGAGAGAAGAAUUAAUUCUUCACAACAAUAGACAACAAGAAUCACUGACAAACAAACAUUGCAGCAUGGCCUGCUAUAUCCCUGCCAGCCGAUAGCUGAUGUAGUGCAACUUUUGCCAGUGAUGAGGACAGAUGCACAACAACCCACAGAAGGCCAUGUAAAAUGGAUGAAGACAUGUUACAGAAACCUUUUCUUUUUGGCCAGACAAUUUAUGAUUGAUUAAGAUGACAUACAGGUAUAUCUUGAAUGAACAAUAAAUUCACUAUGUCAUCUUAAAUCAAAUGCAAUAUGCACACAUAAUCUGGAUACUAUAUUUUACAUUUACAUAUCCAAAUAUAUUUUUCCAUUAUUUUGAAAAUAUCAUCUGUAGAAAGGUUGAAACACAUCAAAAUAGAAAAAAUAAUAAAAAGAUCACAUAACAAGAUGACCAAUUCCAAUCAUGUAAAACCAGAUGGCUUUUUUACUCAUACAGAUCCUGGUACAAUUUGAGAUGAGCACUGAGGAGAAUGAGGCAAACCUCAUCUUUCAGCUUCCCAAGAAGAAUAUAAGUAGGGAAAAUUAAAUCAGCCAAUGUUUUGAUAACUAAAUGCCACACCAAGAAUAAAAAGGAGCAAAUUAACAUCCAAAAAUCCUUUUUAUCAACCACAUUUGCGAAUUCCUUCAUCCACAAGCACAUUCCAGUAACAAAUUGUAGAACUGGUUCAAUGCUACCUUCAAGGAUUAUCAAAACAUUAUUUGAUAUAAAUAUAUCUUUCUGAGUCCUUAACUUUUAUUUGGUACGAGCUUGAGAAUAAUACGAUCCAUGCAAUUACACCAUUUGGGUCAACCGUUUCAUAGGUUCUCCCCCAGUUUAUUAAUUGAACCAUAUCAUUUCUUGGUCAUGUGGUAAAGCUGAGUACCAUGCAAUAUACUGCCAAAAAUAAACUUUAACUUCCAGUAGAUUUGCAAAUUUUAUUUGAGCUUAGGUUCAACUUCCUUUAUUUUCAAAGAUAAUAACAAUGCUACAAAAGUGUCUUCUGAUCUUGUUUCAGUGCCUGCACCAAACACUCAAACACUGAGAUAAAAGUUCACAUAGAAAAAGGUUCAUGCCUAGCGAGCGCCCAACUUCACUUCUCACUAGUGACAAAAGUUAUCUCAGUCAGCUAUUAUCAUUUUUUUAAUUGACAACCUUUUUCUUGAUUUUAUCAUUGUAAUAUGAGAAAAAAGUUUUUAUUUUUUGAAUUUUUACAACUUGUAAGAAAAUUCAUGAUUUUUUUUGUGUUUAAAUUAUAUUGAUUUCUAAAGUUUACUAAAUUACUUGCUCAUAAAACUGUUCCUGGGAUUUGUUAAACUAUUUUUUCAAAUAUAUAUUUUCAUAAUUUUCUAACAACCCAGCCCACACCUAAAACCUUAUUUUUUUAAAAAAAAAGAUUACAAACUCUUGGUGUUCUAAAUCUUGAAUUCAUGACUAUGCUAAUCACCAUCUUGCUCAUAUUCUCGACCAAUGGUUUUGAAGAAAAUCUCAUGGUUUUUAGCUAAUAACUGUUGCUACCCAAACUUCAUUUAGGAGUGUAAAACCAGAAUGCCCAUGGUAGAAUCAAGUGCCUUAUGUAUGCUACACCCAUCUGGUGCUCUCCCAACAAGCAAUAUGCAAAAAGGGUGUCCACUCCACCAUGAAAUAGCAAAGUCCAAAUGCCCUUCAUAUUUAUUUUUUCCAUCUAUUUUCUAUCUAAUCUUACUAUAUUAUGGUACAUGAUAUGAAUUUUCACCAUAUAUGCCAAGCAUAUCUGAGUCUCUCCUUGCAGCCUAAGUAGCUAUUCCUUAGAAACGAGAAUAACAAGAAAUCAUAACAACAUCAAAAUGCUGAAGUUGCACAAAACCAUCAAAUUCCUUUUGCUUCUAUGCAGAUUUCAAAUCAAUAUUCAGAUUGCAAAUUUACAGGGAGUCAUAUCAUAAUAAGCAUUCAAGUAUAUAAGGAAAGAACUUUUAACAUGACAAAAAAAGGACCAUACUCCAACUCAUCUGCCUUUGUUCAAGAGAUAAUAAUGAAAACAAAUCCAGUCCAACUCUACUAUUACUUCUAACACAGUAACCUUAAAAUAAGACAGCAACUAAAACCUAAGAGGUUAGCUGCAGCAAAUGUGACCAAAAAGAUACAAUAGAAGCUAAUAAUUGGCUUUAUGCCUGUUAUCACCUUUCUACCAUAGAAGAUGUCUCACUGUAUUCGAUAAGCCAAUAAUACAGAAAUGCUCUAAGGACAAAAGACCAUUUUCUUAAAUUAAAUGGAAUGGCAUAAUUUUUUACAAGCGACUAGUAAGAAAACAGAAGGCAAACUUCUUUUUGGGAGAAAAAAAAAGAAAAAGACACCUACCACAUAACCUUAUCCAAACUAUGUGCCAAAAGGAUAAGCAGCCUUUUACAAAGAGGCAGCAGCAGAAAAAACUGAUAUCUGUACUAAAAAGUUUAGUGCUAUUAUACUAGUAAUAAGUGAUUCUUAUGUCUUCGGUGAGAAAGUAUACCCAGUUUUAGCCAACCUUAAAAACAAUAAAUAGCAAUCUCCUACUAUAUCUCCAUGCUAUGAAAGCCACAAUGGGAACUCAAAGAAAAGCAUGGAAGAAUUUUGGAGUGGAAACAAAAUAUAGAUCUUAAAAGUGAAAUAAAACAAAUUCAGAAUAGACGAUCAUAAGGAUUUUAGAACUGAUAGGUGGUACUUGCACAUCUCCUGCCACAAACUAUGUUGCAAGGUUAUGACAGCUGUAAGAAGAAAAGCCCGUUCAUCAUCUGGCCAACAGAAUUUUUUGCAACAGAAAGAUUAUAAGUUACAAAACUGAAUAGGAAAACUAAUAAAGCAUAAGCUGGUAAUAGCUCAAACUGAAAUUUUCGUUUAUCAAAUUGCAUGUAACCCAUGCAUGCCAACUGAGAAAGUCUUAGAUUAUCUUUCAAAUCAUCUUCUUUCUUCCUUUCUUUAACCCAUAUUCUUCAUAGUUCUAUGGUAUGGAAUCUGCUUUUCAUGUAUAACGGGUAACAAAGUGUUCUCCUCGUCACAACAUCAGUAAUAGCAUCAGAUAAAACAGAAAGAUCGGGCAAACAAGACAAUUAGUAUAAAACAUCCACUCCCACUAUUUUGUUAAGAGUAUAUUUUGACACUAAAGUUAGCAUAUCUAAAUACUCAUAGCCAGAUAGAGAGGUCAAAUCUUAUAUUCCAGUUCAUGUAUAUAGAAAAUAAAAUGCCCAAUCACUCCAAGCAGCUGUUGUUCAUCAUAAAGCUUUUUAAGCACUAAGCAGUGAUGGAAGCCAAGUCAGGGAUUUAAUUGAGCAUACUGCGAUGUCAUCUACAGCAAUUCAUGGCAUACUCAAAAAUGUCAGUGGCUGUUAGAUCGUGGAUUGAAAUGCAUGUUUUUAGAUACAAUCCUCUCAAAAGAAGAAUAAAAAAAAGAACAAUUCACAUAUACAGAUUAUGGCACUAGAAUACUAGAUCAUAUACCAAAAAGUCUAGAAAGGCAAAAGCAGUCGGGCAAAAUUACAUUCUUCAUAACACAAUUAGAUUUAGUCUGAAUCAUUGCCUAAAGCCUGGCAGACAGAACCUCUUCUGUUGCGUACCUCCAAGAGAUCCAUUUGCAGAUGCCUACAGAACCUGUCUUGUCUUGUAAAGAGCCAAAAGUAUGAUAGACAAGAAUAUGGACUUAUAUCUGUAAAAGAUAAUGAUCUAGCUACAAGAAUAAUCUGAGUAACAUUUUCAGAACCUUUUCAAAACUGCAGCAUUUUUUAUUCAAAAUCACCACUUCGAGAAAAGUGGAAAUGCUUUCUAUUGAUAUACGUUAAUAACACUGUCCAGAACCUCUUUAACAUUACCCAAUAACUUUUCUAUAACUGGAAUUGAAUACCAACAAGCCACAAUGGAAAGAAGAGUGAAUUCAAGCGAGAAGCAAACAAACUCUACAGAGUGAAAACAAAAUGGAAUUAUACAACAGAAAUCCUUAUUUCUUAGACAUCAUUUAAAUUCUAAAAGUGACUAAAUAUGGAAAACCUUGCAGCUCUGUUCAAUAAUCUCAAAAAAACUUUACAUAAUUAAGAGAUGUCACCACUCAACUGAGAUUAGUUGUCAUAACAGUAACCCAUUCAUGGUCCUCAGACACCAGGAGCACAUGGUAUCUGAGAAUAUGGAAAACCUUGCAGCUCUUUCUAUCAUUUUCACGGACCAAUGAAUGAUCAUUAAGAUGGAUACCUCUGCCAAGAAUAUCAGAUGAAAGUAAAUUUACUCCAAACCGCAUGCAGAACUUCCAGAGACCAGCUCAACCAGCUCUCUAUGCAAAACCAACCAAAGAUAGUUGGCAUGCAUUAGAGCUACCACAUCGCUGCAAAAGCGAUCAAGUCUUCAGAAAUCCAGCCACCAUCUGAGUGCUCAUCCUAAAUACUAUGCUAGAAGGAAUCACAGAAUAUUCAGUCACCAAAAGAAUUCACAUCUUUAGAUCACCCUCGGUUUCAGCAAAGGUAUAGCAGUCUGAAGGCAUGAAGGAUGACGAGAAGACAACUUGUCUGGCCCAAAAUUGUGAAAUAAGCCUUUGGUAAAACAGUCAUCCCAGCUUUGAAUAAAAUGUAAGGAAUCUUAAAACGGUAAUGACUAACUCACCAUCUCCAUUACAGGCAUCGCCACAACUUACUAGGUUAACCCUGGAUCAAGUCAUCAAGGCUCUGUGGCAUGAACACCAAACACUUUGCACUAAACUCAGAGAAGCUAAUUCUAAGGAUCCAGAAUGAUUGCAAAUUCAUGCUUUGAUGUGGAAAUCGCAAUAGACGACUCCAAGGAAACAUGACCUCUGUUUCAAGAAGCAUCAUGGUGUCUGUUGCUAUAUUUGGCUCAAUAUAGACAAGACUGAUAUGAUGAACUUAUUUUACACAUCCACAUGUGAGGCUUACGUCAUAGAGCCUCAAACUGCUGCUGCUCACACAAUGAUUUUGAUGGAAAACUCAAGAUCUCAAAUCCUUGUCUAUAUGGUACAAUAAGGCCAACAAAAUGCCUGCAACACCAUUUAGAUUCAGUUGAAGACUGUCAAAAAAAUGCCAUCAAAAUAACCUACCCUUUAAUAGAGGUUAACCUAUGAAUGAUUAUUGUCUAUAUAAGCCCUCUUGAAACAAAUUGCUCGUCUGAUUUUUCCAACAGAGAAAAAGACAGAAUUUAGGGCUGGAAAAAUCUUAAACUAGAACCUUUUGGUAGUUGAUAGAUGAUGCAACGGCAAAAGGUCCCCAAUAGCUGCUAAAGAUUUUUAUGCCCAAGAAAAAUUAAACCUAUUGUAAAGCAGUAUAAAAUGGUAAACUAUGACGGCAUAAAUUUUAGAGCAGCCUAAGAUGAGAAAAGAAACUUAUCUGAUGAUCUAACUAUAGGAUAGGAAGAUACAAAGGCCAAGUUAAACCAACUACCUCACCUGUGACCAUGAAUUAUGUCACAUAAGUAUUAAAUGUCUCCAAUUUUCCAAGUUGACCAAUUUUGUGAUAUAGCCUAUCAUGAAGGCUUUCCAGCAGUUAGCGUGAAAGCAACAUACACAUUAAUCACCUAUAAAUAUACAUGUUAGUCAACAAAAACUAAUCUUUGAAGGUAGUGACAUGUAUGAAAAUACUAACAAAUCUAAGGGUCUCUGAGAAGCACCAAAAGUGAUCAACUGAAGCAGCAAUGAAAUCUGUAACAACCCGGUGUAGGAACAUCUGGAGCCAUUGAACCGACACUUCUUAACCAUAUUAAGAGAAACAUUGUUACUUCAAGCAACCAUAUAUUUUGUUUAUAAGUGACUCCAAAUAAAUAUUCUAAUAAAAAAGUAAUAUAAAAGGAGAAAAACAAAUUAAUGAAUGAUAUGAUAAACCCAUCUUAAAAAAAGUUUUGCAAUAUUCCACCAGCAAAGUCACUUGAAAGAAAAAAAAGAUAAAUGGAGCUCAGAGAUCAUUAAGGCCUGGUUGGGGAAAAAGAUUGUUAAGGUUUGUAUUGUCAAUUAUUCGCCACUUAAUUAAUGCUUUGCACAGGAGUACAUGCCUGAGAUAUGAGUUGGCACUGUUUUGGUAAAAGAAAAUAUAUUUAAUGGAAAAGUCAUACUUACAUGUUUUCAAUAUUUUCACUGAAAUAAGGAUUUUCAACAAAAUCUUCAGACAACCUCACUUUUCUGAUAGCCUAAAGUAGUUUGAAACCUUGGUUGUUGUUUUGUCCAGAAGUAGACAUAUUUGAUAAUGGAGAGGUGAGUUGGCUCAGUCUUGGCUAGAAGGAAUUAAUGGACACAGCUAUAAAUAUUUUGUUGAUGGCUUGCGAACAACCAGAAAUACAACGAAAAAGAUCCUCAAUUUCCCAUUUUUUUAUCUUCAGUGCUUCAAAGGUCAUUGACACGGUCACAAUAUCAUCUGAAUUAUUAGUGUAACAUAUAGUUCAUGGCAGAUUUAUUUUCGUAUUUAAUAUCUGUACUAUUUAAAUACUAUGUAUCAAUAUAGCCCAUAAUUCUUUUUCUUUUUUCAGCCCAUAUGACAUUUAUCAUCUUUCAUUUUGUUACCAAAAGAUUCAUGGAACUUUUAUAUGUGGUUUCUCUCCAAGCAUAACCCUACCACUGAAAAUUGAAUAACAAGAAGCUGAUUACAAGAUUCCAAGAUAUCACGUCAACAAGGGGUGAUAUUUAAAGACCAUGACAGUCUGUCAAGAUUAACAAAAUGUGUCUAAGUAGCUUCUGUCAAAAAGCUCGAAGUGUUUGAAGUGAUCCAAUCAGAAGGAUUAGAUGCUUUAGGGUAACAAACAUCAAAGUAACACAGAGUUAAAAAAAGGAGUAACGACAAUUAGACAUCGUGCUUUUGCAAUUUCUGGUAAGAUUUAAAGGGGAAAACAUGGCUCUCACUGAAUAUAAGAACAUAUUUCAAUGUAAUGCCAGAAGUGAUCUGACAUUCAUAAGCCAAUAUGCAUGUACUUGAGACAAUGGGAGUAAUGCCCCCUAUAAGAAUACUUGUCAUGAGAGUGAAAAUUUUCUUCUGAUGAUAGGCCCAAACCAAGGGCAAGCUUAAGCCCUCCUCUCCUACACAUACACAAUUGAACCUUUGGUUGGCACAAAUGGGUGUGUAUUGUGUAACUCACAGAGGAUGGUACAUCAUUCAAUAAGACAAACAUGAGUACAAGUAGAUAGAAAAUGGUACUUUUGUAGUUUCUGCAAGAAAAGGCAAAAGGUAAUAUAACUAUAGCGUGUGAAAAGUAAGUCUAGUAGAAGACAACUGCAACAAGGCAUCCAUGAGUUGAUGGCUAGCAGAUCUCCUGGAAUCAAGAACCUUGUGUUGCAUACAUCAAACAGAAUAAUAAAAGACAGACAAAUGCAUAAACAGUGUGAUUGGAUGAAAUGGAGAUGUGUUUGUAGAAAGUAAAACAAUUGUUUCAGGCAAGUGAAAUGAAUAUAAAGCAAAAAAAAUGCUAAUAUAGAUGAUGAUGGAAAGCCAAAUGAAAUGGCAUGUGCAACAAAAAUUAAGCGAUGUUCUGGCCAGGAGAAAGCAAAAAAAUUUGCAGAAUGCAAGUCACUAGAGAAUAAGAGAAGAUUAAGUAGGUAGAAAAGCUUGAGAUGAAGCAAGAAGAAAGCUAGUCUUCUAUUUUUUGCCAGCUAUGAUUUUAUCACACAUCAUCCUCCUGCCAGAAUAUGUGAAGACCAAGUCCAAGCUGUUGGCUCAAUGAAAGGAACGAAGAAACUGAAAAUGAAAGAUGAGCCUUGAAAUGAGAAGUUCUUCCACUGGAUUACCACGCCAUUAUUAGAAAUAAGAAUAUUAAUUGGACAUGCAAUCCAAGACCGUGAGGCAUGCUAAAAAUGAAGCAUCAUGGAAUACUGCUCCUAUAAAAAAAAUUGCAACAGAAAAGAAAUGGCUACUCAAUUUAGGAAUGACUACAGAUGCAGGUGUACAUCCAGUUUUAAAAUGUUGAACUACUCUAGAUAUGAUGAAACUAUGACUAUAGAAGUGCAGUCAAUGUCGAACCAGAGACUGCAAUGUUCUUGUCACCCUAAAUAAAGAACUGAAAAGGACAUUAGCACAUGCUUUGCUCCACAGCUAGUGGAAUUCAACAACAAUGCGGGCAAGUGACUAGAAUAUUACAUCUGCAAAUUGGUAAGCACAGUUCAAAGGAGGUCAUAGUCAGGAUGGCUAAGCAUGACCAGUGGCUCAGUCAGCAGACAUGCAUAAGAAAUUAAUAUUAUAUUUCAUCCUUCCUUGUUAAGGAGACAUUAAAGACCUUCAGAAGCAUCUCAUCCGACCUAACUUAGAGACUUGAAAUAAAUAUUAGAUUAAAAUCACAUGAGCACUCAUUCCUGCAAACUUAGACCACAAAAUAGUCCUUGAUUUAUAUAGUACCUGCAAACAAGAAAAUCAUUAAAAUAAAACCUUAUUGCAUAGGGUAUUGGGGAACCAAUCAAACUUCACAAGAUAGGCAUGGCAACAACCCUAUAACAAGUGGAAAUUCAUCAAGGUGCACGAUGACUCAACCACAAAAUCUAAAGAGCAAUGAUGUUAUCGAUAACGAACCAACCCUCACAAUGAUAGAUGUCCACUGGAAAAAAUGGUAAAAGGGAAAUAUGUGCAAUAUUUUAAACAAAUAAAUUAAAAAACAUCCAUUUCUACUUUUCCCCCCUUUUUUUCUAAAGCCACAUUCUCUCCUUCCAACUUGGCCCUUAAAAAACAAAAAAGCCUUUUAAUCUCCUUACCCAAUCAAACCGCUAAAGAUAAGCGAAAAAAAUAACAGUUCCCUCCUCACUAUUGCAAAAUUGACCCCAAAAAGGAUCUAAACAAUGUUUAUAGAUCUCGUAUUAGAUCUAGGUUCAAUAAUUAUAAAUGAUUUGGGCUUUAUUUUAAGUUAAUCGUUUGUUUAUUUUAUUGCCUUAGGACUCUUUUUUAAAGUUUUCUAGAGUAGGUUACUCGAGUCAUAUUCUAGAAAAAUUCAAAUUAAUUUUUAGGGCAAUUUCUUAAGUUUCAUUUUAAGUAGAAUAUUUGUCUAAACAUCCUGCUUUAAAAUCUAGGUUGUAUUUUUUAAAAAAAAAUAUUUGGAGUCACCGUAAUUAACAUUCUGAAGUGAUUCAAAUGACUUUUCCUGGAGUUUUUCAAUAAAAAGACAAAUUUUAUUAUUUUGUGAAGUCUAGUCAUUUCUCAUUUCAAUAAAAAGUGAUUUUAUUAUUUGCAGCCAUUACGGAGGUCAAUUAGGAGUUUUCAUUUGAGACAAAUUUAUAAAAAUUAAAAUGUAUUGAUAAUCGGGAGUUAUUUUAGGAUUAAAUGACAUUACUUUGCAAUUUUUUAGCAUCUAAAAAUAGGGUCAAGAAAAAGUGAUUUAGAAGUUAAAUAAAUUAGUUCCUUUAUGCAGGAUUUCUCUUAAUAAUUGUCUUUCUGCAGUCUCAAAUUCCUUUCCCUUUAUUCUGCCCUUGAACCAUCUCUCUUGCCUUAGAUACCUCUUUUAUUUGAUACUGUUUGUUCUUCAUCAAGAAAAUUUAUUUUAGCAUGUUACAAAAUUCCCUCACAGCUCAAACACUAAGAGCCUGCAUCACUAACACUUUUUCUUUCCACAUUGAAGGAACUCCACUCUGCAAACUGGCCAAACAAAGAUUUGGAUCUUAGAAGGGUCUUCUUGUAUUUUAAAAAAUAAAUGAUCACAUCCAUCAAAAAAUCAGUGAACUUCACUUACAAGUUCUCUACUCAAAAGUGACCGUGACAGUCUCCUCCUUCACAAAAAUCACUCCUAUUCAGCAUGUGCAGCCUUUGAUUCUUAACCUUAAGUUGGCAUGUGAAAAUAUUACCCCCUAUGAUGACUGACCAAGCAACAAUCUGGAUCUUAAAAAUCCUUCACCAACAAUCAAUAUCUUUGAAGAAGAGAUACAGCAAGACUUCAUUUAGAAUGGAAGGAUGCCCAAACACCGACCAACCUUAGCCAUAGAGAUUAUUUUCACUUAACCAAGUGAUAAAUGCAGAAACUUUAGAUAUAAAAAGUAAAUCCAUUGAAAAUAUUAGAAGACACAAAGUAGCCUAGAGUAAUCUACACUAGGUUCUAAUCUCUUGCACUAUUUUCUUUUUUACCUACCAAUAGGCAUCACAAAUAUCUCCAACGCGAAGAAUAAAUAUCCACUCCUAAUAAUGAUGACGAUGAUGAUAACAAUAACAAUAAUAAUAAUAAUAAUAUGAUGAUGAUGACAACGACAUACUAGAUGAUCAGAAAACUUAAAUUUCAUGGCUCCUAAACUUGUUAAUAGAAUAAUGUACAGUGAUCAUAAAGAAUUCCAAUUUUAGAAACAAAUUAUAUAAUACAAAAUAAUAUAAUACAUCAUCGUUUGAGGGGAAAUUUGCAUUUAAGUAAUAGUGUAAAGAAGCCAAAAACUAUGUGAGAGGUUGGGAGAAGACAACCCCUUCUCCUAGGUUUUGCACUUGAGCAUACCCGUCACCUCUCAAGUGUUCUGAUGCACAACAAUCGGUUUGUCAUGUUCUCAUAUUCCCUAGCGGACUGAUUACAAUUAUAGGCACUAUUGAGAGAGUCAUUUAUCUUUCCACAUGUGGUGGAAGGACAGAUUCAACAUUUGGCAUAUCUUCAAGUUGAGUAAGCAUAAUAAACCCCAAAGUCUGAGUAUCCAUAAAUCAGCAUGUUCGAGAAGUGCUCGGCCUAAAGAUGCUCAAGUUAACACGUGAAUUGAUUCGAAUCAAAAUUGUCCAUCCUGCGUCACAGUAGAUUGAUUUAGCCAGAUUGUCCUACUUAAGUAGCUCAUUAUUUAUUGCAAGAUUUGCUGUAUGGGUCUGUAUUAGUGCAUCCAACUAUAUCAUACCAUAACAGUAUCGAACCGGCAUACAGUACAGAGGGCAUACUGACACUCACUAUGCCAAACCAGCCCCUAUGCCAAGCAUACCAACACUAUAAUAGGAUGGUACUAGUGCCAUCUCAAUUUAUUGUAUGUAAAGUAAUCUAAAAAAGCUUAGAACUAAAGCAUCUUUUGACUUAUUAACAUUUCAUUUACCCUAAAUACUACUAGUAAUCAUUAAAUGUUAUCUCUAGCAGGGUAAAUUUAAGUCUACUAAAAUCAUCAUUGGUGAUCAUACCAUAUAACUAUUAAGGAACUUUCUCAGCCAUAGCAAUUAUUGCAAUAAAAUUGCAAUUUUUGUGAGACCCAAGCAACAACUUUUACCAUUUUCUCCAAACACCUCGGAUCACAAAUUAUAUGCUGAUAGUAAAAUAUAUAGAAAUGAGAAAAUAGAAUAAACAUGCUAUGUUAUUUUUAAAAAAUCAAGAAAUUUAAAAUAAUUCUAGGCAAUUAUAUGCACUUCAUAUCUAAACACAUAAAUAAAUACAAAAUUCCAUAUAAAUAUCAUUGAUACCUCCCAAUUGCUGCAGUGAUUAUGUCUUCAUAUAAGAAAUUUCAGAAGAAAAAAAAUCAAUUGCAACUCGAAACUUUUCUACAGAUUAGGUGUCUUUUGCUUUGUUUUUUCCUUUUUUGCAGAGUAUGUCUGUCUCCAAGUCAGCAAGCUUUCAGUUCAUAAACCUAAAUUUAAAGUGCUUGGCUGUACUUAAAAAUUUGCCCAUUAGGGUAACUAUAUAACCAUUAAUGAUGCACAAAUAUGGCUUCGUUCAUCCAUUUCUACAUCACUUGUCUAAUCAAGGCAAAUCAUGCCUACCCCAUCCUGUAUCUUUGCUUUGACUAUGUUCCAUCUCAACAAAAUUCAAGCAACUACUAACUGGAAUUAAGAGCUAAUGUAAAAUUCAACAGCAGCAACAACAAUAGGGAGUUAAAAAAUCCAAAUUUACCAUACCAUUUAGAGACUUAAAGUUUCUAAUUCCAGUUCAACAACUUACAGCAUCAUGCUUCUCUGAAAGUUCAAUGACACCAAAGUCUUGUGUAUGGAAAAUUGAAGAACUUCAGACUUAUAAAGUAACUAAUAGAAACUAAAGAUUUUAUUAACAAAAUUGACAAAAAUGAAACUGCUCCUCAGGAUACAUAAAUCUUCAUAGAGCAGGAACUUUUUAAAAAUGUAGAAACCAGUGCUUGAGAUUGCAAUUUGAAGAAAACAAGAUCAAUCAACCAGAGUCACUCUCCUAUUAAUUUUAAAGAAUCAUAAAAUUAGCAUCAAAGAAAUACAUGUAGGUAGUGAACAACAUGCAUGGAUAAAGAUAGUGCUUGAAUCAUGUUCACUAAGUUAUAAAGCUCAGCCAACUUCACAUAGUGUGGAUAAAUCUCACUAUUAAUCAUACUGAGGGUGAAUACCAAUUGAUGUGAUAGUCUUUGCUGGGGAAGUUCACCUUAAGGGAGAAGAAUUCAUAGAUGGAAUAAGGGAUUGCAAAGUUGAUGUUAGAUAAGAUACUAUAUGAUAUGUGAUCAAACAGCAUGAAAUUUUAUGCUGCCUCCUGAACUAGCCAUUAAGGAUCCCUAUAGCAACAAGCAUCAGUUGUUUUUAAAAAAGAGUACUGGCAAUUUCAAAACUUUUCUAGUCCAACAACCAUCAGAAUGUCAUCACAUAACAUAAUACCUAACCAGGAAAAUCUUGGAAGAAAUACCGUCAAAAGUUUACUGCAGAAAUAAGAAGCAAACAGUAUACAAAGUGCUAUUCUGACAUUAAAAGGCCCGAAAAUAUAAUCCCUUAAAUAGAAUCUGCAACCCAAACAGAACUAGAGAGCAUUUAAUGCCUCUGGAACCCCUGAAGAACACCUAAUCUGGAAAAUCUUGGAGCUACUAACAGCAAAACUUAAAUGCAGAAGCCUGAGAUAAACAGCAUUGAAGGGUCCGGAAUCUUAUCAGUUGUUUAGAAACGCAAACCGAUUUCGCAUAGAAAAGCAGAUAACUGCCCAGCCUAAAUACUUGGGUUUUUCCUGCCAAAGAAGGGAACAUAAACAGAACUGCACAAACCAUGAAAAGACUAAAAAUCAUCCCCUUUUUCUUGUACAGAAAAAGAAUGACACCAUCCCUGCUACGAAUCUCAGGCAUAAUUACUUCACAAUAUCAUCAUCCAAGUUCAGAAUAAAGAAAAAUCACCACACAAACACAGAAAAUAUCCAACAAAACAUAGUUUCGUAAUAUACAGUCCGAUCUGACGAAUAUCUAACACAGACAAAUAAAGAAAAGAGGAAAAAAAGAUUAGCAAGAUAUAAUCAAGAUUACUGGAGAAAAGAACCAAGAAAUCCAAACAAAAAUACAUUUUCAAUUAAAAACUCAAAACAGAUUAUUAUACAUUAGAAAGAAAGCAUAAUAGCAACGAUCUAGACAUCAAAAGAACGAAAUUCCCUAACAAACAACAAAAAUUUGUGGAUUGAAGGAAAAUUCCACGGGCGGAUCAAGACGGAAGGCUGCGUCAUACCUUCCGAUCGUAUCCACCGAUCAAGAUCGCGAUUCCGAGUUCCUUUCUCCCAAGGGAACGAAUCCGAGAGGCAAUCCCCCUUAAUCCGACGCUUUGCCUAGGGUUUGCUGGAGGGGCGAGAUUUGGGGAUUUCGACGGUCACGCCACCGAAGAAAGCGGAAGCCAGACAAGGAGGAGAAACCACAGGAGAACUACGGAGACAAGGAACCGCCCUUUAAUACUAAAAAAAAAUACCACCCUUCCACCCGGCCACCAUCCACGACCCUUCCUCCCCUGGUAUUUAUAGUGGAGGCGAGCCGAGGUCAGGAUUGGUUUAAAAAUAAGGAGAAAAUAAAUCUAAAAUAAAGGAAUAAGGUUUUAUUUCUGUUCGUGGGCACAGGGGCCCACCAAUUAUGGGGCACGCGGAGCCACGUGGCAGGCAGGCUUGGCCGCGGUCCAGUGUUCCGCCGGUUCUAUCCAUACCGUGGGCCUCCAGCUGGCCCUUCUUUAACCCGUCACCUGCGAAGAAGGGCGUACAGGUACAUCAGGGGGUGGGUCCCACCUUGGUGGAUGUCACCAUGGUGACACCGGCGAGAUGAAUUUGAUGGACGAUGAGUAAUUAAAGACCCACAUAAAAGUUUCCGCACGCCCAACUUAAUUAAAUCCAUAUCAAACCUUGGAAUUACCUUUAAGUCCUAAUAAAUUUUUUAAAUAUGUCCAAUUACACAGCUUAUGUCCAAGUACAUAAAUUCUAAACCUGACAUUUAUGGGACUCUUUUUAUAUUUCUUUGAAUUUUCGUUAAGCUGUUUCUAAAUCUUUUACUAUUUAUCUAUUACAUUAAAAUUAAUUAUUGGUUUUUUUGAAUAGGAGCUAUAACAUCUAACCUAAGCAGCAGCAUAAUUGCUCAGACAUUAUACAAUAUUUUGACCGAUCCUGAGCACUACAACCGCCUUCUUGAAUCUUAUUCCUAUACAUUGCGAUAAAAAUGUAACAUGAUAAUUAUAUGACAAUAGGCAAUUUAUCCAUCUGCCAAUGCAUCGGUUUUCAUUAGACACCAAGAGUUCGGCUCGGAACAAAAACUACCAAAAUCUAUUUAUAUGACACAUUUUUCUCCAACAUUAGGUAGGAGAUUGUCCCACGUUUCUGGCAAUAUGGGGAAAAGGAAAAGUAGCUCGUGACCAUAGAAUUUUUUUGCUAAGUUUGAAUGUAGUUAUUACUUUUUUGUGGUGGUUUAUAAUUUUAUGUAUAAAAUUUUCUCAAAAUUAUACCAUUGUAUGUAUUAACCGGUGGCCAAUAAUAAUGAAAGCAUGAGAAAUGGCCCAGGAGCACUUACAAUUAGGAUUAGAUUAUUAAGCCAUGACUACGAACUUGGCUAGUCCCCACAACACUCAUGACCACAGCAAUGAUAAUUUAUUCCAAGUAUAAAAUUCGCAAGGACGUGGUAAAGUGUUAAGAGGAAAUUGAGUAUCUCCGUAAAUCUUUGCAUUCGAGAUGUGAAACAAAUUGCUGCAUCACAUAUAAACUAAGAAUUACAGAAAUCUUAUAGUAAAAGGUUAGCUAGAAACGGAGAGGAGACAAGUUAGCUGAUGUUUACCGAGAAAAAUAAAGGUUAGCUGCCGUGCACGAUGCUUCUCCCCUUGCUUGGCUGACACUGUGCAGGUUCCAGGAGCAAUACGGAAGCUAUGCAUCAAAUUUUUUAAUCCUCUUUUCUGUGAGAAACAAAUAGAGGAAUCCAUCUUUAUUUUGUGCGUAGGGAUAUCCAAACACCAAUCAAUUACUCGUCUAACUUUUGGUGAAAAAAAGAGCCAUCAUAAGCAAUGAAAAGAACCAUAGCUCGAGUCCAUACCAGAGUCCAAGAAAAAGUUGGCUCACCCAAAAAAAAAAAAAAACUAAAGAAAAAAGGUCUUAAUGUCUUAAUAGUAAAAUGCCAUAGGAAGCCACCUGUUACAUUGAACAUCCCCUGGAACCUGAAAAGGAGAGAAGGCGAGCUAGCUGCGGUGUAUACUCCACUUCAAACGAAAAGUAUAAUCCAAGGCGUUAUUGACUUCUUAAACUUGGUCAUUCAGCAAACCAAACAAAGAGCAGCAAGAAACACGUUCAAUUUGAGGAAGGUGCGAUGCUUUUGCGCGGUCAGUUUGCUCCUGCUAUGAAACUUUGACUGUGCAAUCGCACCUUCCUCGAAUUGAAUGCGGACGCCCGUGGGCUAACAGAGGACAAGGGGCACUCAUCGCCCCCAGCGAAGCCAGCCCGUGCCUCCUCCUAUGAAACUUGAACUGCCUUAAACCACACCACGUGAAUUACACACAAUAAAUUCUAGGAACAUAAACCAGCAAUUUCUGAUGAUAGAACUAAUAAAGCUAGAGGCCUGGGGGAUCCCAUUCCUCCAACAAAUAGACAAUUUAUGAUACGUUGGACUUUCGAAAGCUCCGAUGGCAUGCAUGUGAGAUUAGGCCUAGAAUGGGCAAUAUUGGAUUGAAGUCGACGGGCCCAACCGACUUCGGUACAAUGCUAAAGGAAGAACCAGAAUAGAGGAUCACAAUAGCGAUUCUUUGCUCCUUCCUCGAAGAGAUAAGUCCAUGGAUGAACCUCGACUCCGUGGGGAGUUUGAACGGCCGCCAGCUGUUCGAUCGAGCCCAUCCGCCGCAAGAAUCGUGGCGGAGCAAUGGCCCCUCACCUUAUCCCUUUGGAGGUGUCCCCUAUAAAUUCUCUCACCUCUCGGCGAUUAUCCUCCACCUUCGAGCUUCGCCGAGCCUUUUCCUCCCUCUCCUCCCUCCUUCUUCUCCUUCUCCGGUGACCGGCAUGCCACCCCAACCAAGCACCACCGCCUAAAGCUCCCUUUUCUUCCUUUUUUGUUCAAGUGCUCUGUUUUCUUUGUUCCGAGACUCCUCCCUGUUUCAAGCACCGCCGCCACUAGUCGCCACCGGUUGAGCAAUCCGCAGCCAAGAUCGUCCAUCUCCGCCACUCGCCGGUACCAAAGAUGUUCUUAGUUUUUCCCUCCUCGCCCUUGCUGUUGACGGUUGGCCGUCGACCACCCAAUUUUGGCCGCCGCAACCCUUCCCCGAUCUCUUCCCUCUCCUCUUUCCUCUCUUCCUUCCCGACUUCUUCCUCUUCUUAGUUCUUAUUUCUUCCCAUACUUAAUUUUUUGUAUUUAUUUAUUAAUCCCUAUACAUAUAUGGCUUUCAUUGUUCCUCCCUCGUUGCUAAUCUCUCCCUUGCCUAUGGGCCAAAUGUUGUGAUGAUUUAUGACUCUAUGACGGACCAAACCCAGACCCCUGUCCGACCCUAAACUAAGGCUCUCUCCUCGCCAUCUUUCUCUCUCUUCACAGGCUCAAGAAUCCUAGUGUAAGCCUUAUUUUUCUUAUUGGUCGGAUCCAAAUUGACCCAAUUUGGAGAUCUUGAACUGCCCCGGUAUCUAGGCAGUAGACCGGCCCAUUACUAAAUUCCCAGCUAAAUCUUUUGAAAUUCGGUCAUUUUUAAUCUUUACCUGACUAAUUAAAUUCUCUUUGCUCGGACCGACCUGGGCAGUCGGGCACUGUCACCUGAUCGACCUGAUUUAGAGGCAUGAGGCCGUUCUCUAAUAGUGUUUAAUUUUGACUUCAAUUGACUUAUAGAAUGAUAAUGAAAUCAUAUUAAAAUAAGUGCACUUGACCCGUCAAACUGAAGUAGGAUUUUUGAAGUGAGAAGAGGUAAGUAACCUAAUGCUUCAAUGAGUGUUUUUUGAAUUUUUGGUAAAAUAAUAAUUAGGUUAUUAAAUUUGAAUAUGAUAUAUGUUUUAUACUUAGUUAAACGGGUCAAGCAUGUUGAUGUUAUGAUAGUAAUUAUUUUAAAAUAUGUUAUGUUAGAUUUUGAAAUCUAAAAAAUAUGACUGAGCAAAAAAAAAUUGUAUAUAUAUUCAUUUUCUGCAUGGUUAUGAUUUGACCCCACCAAUGGAGAUUAUUCGUUAACCCUGUCAACUUGUAAUCUGUGAGAAACUAGUUUCGACACCACACCACCGGUGAUUAUAAUGGUGAUAUUUGGAUACUGUACCGCCGGUGGAUAAUAAUAGUGGUAUUUGGUACUUUGUGCAUUGACACAUACUAUUGGAUUACGUGGCCAUAGCCUAAUAUCUGGUUUCUGGUAUUUCUUUAUAAAAACAAUAGUAUACUUCAAAAGAAAAUAUGCAUUAUUCGAGAAAUGAUUUAUUUUCUAGUCAAUAUCUUGUGUUUUUAACUAAUUUUUUGGCAUGCUUUGACACCACUUUGGGAUAUUAUGUUGCUUACUAGGCUAGUGUAGCUUAUUAUUAUAUUUUUUUCUGUUUUUCAUUUCUAGAUGCAUAAUUGUUCAGGACUUGGAGCUGGUUCUUUUAAAAAUACUUUUGGUUAUUGGAGUUUUAGUCGGUUUAGUUAGAACAUUUUAUUUGAUUUAUGUUAGUAGUUAGCAUAUAUUAACUUAUGUCACUUUGGAAUUAUUGUAAGAAUCAUUUGGAUAAGUUCUUAAUUGAAUAAUUUUUCAGAAAUUAUUAUUACUUUGAUAUGAUCUGUAGCCCUAUACAUAUAUGCAGGAUCUAUUUUGCUCUGGGUUCGGGGCAUGAUAAUGCAAGAGCGAAAGUGAUAGAAAAAAACUGAGCAAGAGAAUAUCUGAGGCCUCAACAUAAUUCCAGGUCAAGAACAUGUUAAUUGGAGAAUAAUCAAGUGAAAAGAGAAGAUCUUAGGUCUCGACAUAAUUUCAAGUCAGGAACAUGUUAAUUGGAGAAGAAACGGCAUGUUGGCAAAUGUCUUUUGGAUAAGAAGAUUUGCUUACAGAAUUGACUGCCAAGGUUAACAUGGUUAAAAAGCAAUUUUAGGCAAAUCAGCUGCAUGGCAGAAAGGUGUAAUUAUCAGAAGGGAGAGAAAAAAAAAGGACUUUGAGAGUUGAAAUUGAAUGAAGUGGAUCCAAAGAACCUGAUCCUUAGCCUUUUCAGUGAAACAGAUUUGAGUUACCUUGCUGUUUAUAGGCUCAAAUUGGGACUAAUGAAAAUUUUAGCAAGGACCAUCUGCUUCUCCAUUUCAAUACUAUCAAAUAUUUUGAGUGCCAGAUGAUCAAAUCCCCAAAGAAGGCUUUGAUCAUCUUCUGUCAAACUAGUCUGUUUUUUAGCCCCUCCCUCUCCAUUAUUUUAUUCAAGAUCUGCACUUAUUCAUACUUGUUUUUCAAACUUGUGACAAGUUAACAAACUAUUCACCAAGAAAAUGUUAUUGACAAGAAAGAGCCCAAGCAUGACUGACCUUCAUCAGACUCGCUGAGUUCCUAUUAGAUGAAGGAAAGGAAAACAUACUAAGCGUAUUUGAAGCUCUAUUAUAAUUAUGCCAUGGGAAUGCACGCAUCAUACAGUAGAAAGGAUGCCAACAGGAAAAGGUCCGAAGAAUAUAUCGGUUUAACAGCAGACAAACAAAAUCCAGCAACAUGCCAUGUCGUGUUUUACCAUGGAAAACAAAAUAAAAGCAGGAGAGCAAGCAAACUAUACUUCAAUAACGAAGAUCACACAACGUUCAAGUCUCCAUUGAUUUUGGUCCCCCAUUCUUUUUAAAUCCUUUAAUCUCUAAUUUGAACCCUCUAAUUAUUUGGGUCCUAGUUCUCAGGGCCCCUUCUCGCUGCCUAAUACUAAGCAACAGAUCUUAGAAUAUAAAAUUUCCUUUUAAAUCAUACCUGAUGUUUUACAGGACAUACCAAAGGCACAACCCUGCUUCAUCUGCAUAGUAUUGGUGGAAUUCUCAUCAAUCUGUCCGUUCCAAUAUAAGAUAGAGUCAAGGUAAUUAAAUUGAUAGGUUAGAGAAUCUAUUGUGUGCCAAUUCUAACAACAUACUCAGAAAUACUGUUCAACUGAAGUUGCACUCCCUUUGGCCCAACACAGUUCUCCAAACUUUUAUUCUCUAGAUUUUUCUUCUACACCAUAAUACCCAACCUCCCUUAGUAUCAUAAACUAAAGCUUAAGCACCCGCAAAUUGGGAAAAAAGGAGCAAACUUUUGGAACGCUAGUAUCCACUGGCUUUCAAGGAAUGGAAUAUUACCAAGCACCCUCCACUAUUUCAGAUAGUAUUUAUGGUUCUACCUUUUUCUCUGGACACAACGGGAGGUGCAAUCCAUUUCGUGAAUUGGUAGGGGAGGCGGUACAAUGGAAUUUCAUUCAUUCAAUAUUGAUUCCCGUAGUUCGGGAGUUCAAGCCAGGCAAGGCACAAUAAGGGUUGGCGAACAUGGUAGGCACAUUACAAAUCAAUACACGAAGAGGUGCCGCCGUGAAGAUCUAGGAGUGUGAGCAGUACGAGCUGAAAGGCUCUCAUACUGUUUGGAUUUUUAGUACAAGUAGCUACAGGUUUUGCUAUGACUUUUGACUAUCGUCCAACCGUUACAGAAGCUUUUUCCUCUGUUCAAUACAUAAUGACUGAGGCCAAUUUUGGUUGGUUAAUUCGAUCAGUUCAUCGAUGGUCAGCAGGAAUCCACAAACCAUUCCGACCGACGAUCAGAAUUUCUUCGAAUAUGUCCUUGAAUUUAUUCGAGAUUUGAGCAAAACUUUCUUGUUCUAGUACCAAUAGGUGAUGAUUAGUGCACUAACCGACUCUUGAUUACCGUUUUUUGCUUACUCUUUUUUGGCCUGGAAGAGCGAACGAUCCACCUGGACAACUAAACUGAGACUCCGACUUCUUGGGCCCCCCACUGGAGAUGAGAUGACGGGGAGCCUUUGGAAACUGUCGUGACGCUUUGGUGACGAAGGUCACCNN
rnacentral:lncRNA from 1 species